rnacentral:rRNA from 1 species
AUUGAACGCUGGCGGCAGGCCUAACACAUGCAAGUCGAGCGGGGUUUUCGGACCUAGCGGCGGACGGGUGAGUAAUGCGUAGGAAGCUACCCGAUAGAGGGGGAUACCAGUUGGAAACGACUGUUAAUACCGCAUAAUGUCUACGGACCAAAGUGUGGGACCUUCGGGCCACAUGCUAUCGGAUGCGCCUACGUGGGAUUAGCUCGUUGGUGAGGUAAUGGCUCACCAAGGCGACGAUCCCUAGCUGGUUUGAGAGGAUGAUCAGCCACACGGGAACUGAGACACGUGCCAGACUCCUACGGGAGGCAGCAGUGGGGAAUAUUGGAGAAUGGGCGCAAGCCUGAUCCAGCCAUGCCGCGUGUGUGAAGAAGGCCUUCGGGUUGUAAAGCACUUUCAGUAGGGAGGAAGCGUUGUGUGUUAAUAGUACACAGCGUUGACGUUACCUACAGAAGAAGCACCGGCUAACUCUGUGCCAGCAGCCGCGGUAACAC